rnacentral:lncRNA from 1 species
CGAAGACAUAGUCAUUAAAGGUGAAUGUUAGGGCAACCCAUCCUUGACCUAGACAGAGAGUCCAAGACCAGGCACUCUGCAUAAAUGACCUCAUUCGGGGUGUUCAGACUCAGAGAAUGAAGAAGAUACCGGCUUGAAUCUCACUUCCAACAAAAUUACUCUGAACCAGACCUGACCAGUUCUGAAGACAAGCUUACCCUCAACUUGUCCAGAAGGGAUCUGAAGCUGCACUUCUGAGACUCAAACAAGCACGUGAUCUGUCUGCAAAGCAAGUACCUGGCCUUCCUCAGAACCAUCACCAUUUUCUAAUGCUGGCUUCUCCAACUCAAAGCCCAGGCAGAGCUCUUAUGAUUAUUCUGUUUACCUGCUGGGAUUCUUGCCUCCCUCUAGAUUCUAGUCCCUCCUCAGUGGUGGUGCCUUCUCUUUCAUCAGCUUUUGCCUGAAUCAGCUACACCACAGAUUCACCGAGCUCCUUCUUUCCAGCCUCGAGUGUCUUCACUCAGUGUUUCUAACAGGCUCCUCCCUUUUCGCAUUGAGGAAGUACGAAUCCUGUGAGAAGGUGUAUGUGAAGAGGUGCAGGGAGGCUCAGAUUUUGGGUAGGGCGGGAUUUGUGUUGAGCCAGCCAGGCUGGGGAAGUUGGUGGGCAUCCCUGUGUCUAGCACAGAUCUGGUUGGAAGUACAACAGAUGGGGAGGUAACUGUCAUAGGAUUCCCCAAAACUUCCAAACUCCCUAUCCAUAAGCCUCCUGUAGAGUAAAGGACGCUCAGUUGCUUGUAUAGUAUAGAUAGUAUAGUAUAGUAUAGUAUAGUAUAGUAUAGUAUAGUAUAGAUACUGAUCAUGUGAGAUGGCACAGGACCUAGGACAGACAGACCACUGGAGAGGCUAGAGAGAUGCCUGCCCAUGCACAAAGUACUUUAGGAGGCCAUGACACUCAGCUGGUCCAUGUCUAUGUCACUCCUGGCCAGACUCCAAACCAAGAAAAGAAAAUCUGUAGCCUGAGUUGUUUGCCUCCCACAGGGCUUGCCUGGCCUUUGGCUGCUGGCUGCAGGGAGAUGCAUUUUUCCUUCCUCUGUGGGCAGCAAAUUCCCCACAAGUCAGAUGCUGUGUAUGUGGCCUCACCACAUGCUUCUACUGAGGCUUUUGGGUGCCUCCUUUCUUUUAUAAGAGUUGCCUAUAAUGGUGUCUCUUCACAGCAAUAGAAGAGUGACUAAGACAGGUGGACCAUCCUUAACCCGAAGUUUGAAAUGCUCCCAAACUUGAAACUUCUUGAGAGAAGACAUGUUACAAGGAGAGAACUUGACUCAUGACUUCAUGUGAAAAGUUAAAAUGCAGUCAAAAUGCAGAUAUACAGAAUUAUCUUUAGGCUGUCCUCAUACAAUGUAUAUGGACAGUCAUACUUUGUGCUUAGACUCAUUCCCAAGACCUCAUGAUGCAUGCAAAUACUUCCAAGUCAGAAAUCCCAAAUCCCAAACCCUCCUUGUUCCCAAGCACUUAGGAUCUGCAGUGUUCAGCCAGCUUAGCACUGCUCUUUUCUACAGUUAGUGAUACAGUUAAACUUGCAAGUUGGGCACCAUAGGAGACUAACCGCUCUCAUACUGUCAGGCUGUCUUCAUAAAGUACUGUUACUUGUGAAUAUUUGUCCAUGGGUCACUUACUCAUUA